CUCGUACCGUAAACCGACACAGGUAGUCAAGGAGAGAAUCCUAAGGUGCUCGAGUGAUUCAUGGCUAAGGAACUAGGCAAAAUGGUCUCGUAACUUCGGGAGAAGAGACGCCAACAGUAAUGUUGGCCGCAGUGAAUAGGCCCAGGCGACUGUUUAUCAAAAACACAUGGCUUUGCAAAAACGAAAGUUGACGUAUAAGGCCUGACACCUGCCCGGUGCUGGAAGGUUAAGAGGAGAUGUUAUCUUCGGAGAAGCAUUGAAUUGAAGCCCCAGUAAACGGCGGCCGUAACAAUAACGGUCCUAAGGU
rnacentral:rRNA from 1 species